rnacentral:rRNA from 1 species
UACGGAGGGUGCAAGCGUUGUCCGGAUUUAUUGGGUUUAAAGGGUGCGUAGGCGGCCCGUUAAGUCAGCGGUGAAAUCCCGGGGCUCAACCCCGGAACUGCCGUUGAUACUGGCGGGCUUGAGUUCGGUUAAGGCGGGCGGAACUGGCGGUGUAGCGGUGAAAUGCUUAGAUACCGCCAAGAACCCCGAUUGCGUAGGCAGCUCGCUGAGCCGAAACUGACGCUGAGGCACGAAAGCGUGGGGAGCGAACAGG